GAUGAACGCUGGCGGCGUGCCUAAUACAUGCAAGUUGAGCGAACGGACGAGAAGCUUGCUUCUCUGAUGUUAGCGGCGGACGGGUGAGUAACACGUGGAUAACCUACCUAUAAGACUGGGAUAACUUCGGGAAACCGGAGCUAAUACCGGAUAAUAUUUUGAACCGCAUGGUUCAAAAGUGAAAGACGGUCUUGCUGUCACUUAUAGAUGGAUCCGCGCUGCAUUAGCUAGUUGGUAAGGUAACGGCUUACCAAGGCAACGAUGCAUAGCCGACCUGAGAGGGUGAUCGGCCACACUGGAACUGAGACACGGUCCAGACUCCUACGGGAGGCAGCAGUAGGGAAUCUUCCGCAAUGGGCGAAAGCCUGACGGAGCAACGCCGCGUGAGUGAUGAAGGUCUUCGGAUCGUAAAACUCUGUUAUUAGGGAAGAACAUAUGUGUAAGUAACUGUGCACAUCUUGACGGUACCUAAUCAGAAAGCCACGGCUAACUACGUG
rnacentral:rRNA from 1 species